rnacentral:rRNA from 1 species
AAUGCCGGAUGCUCCAGUUGACCGCAUGGUCCUCUGGGAAAGCUUUUGCGGUAUGGGAUGGGGUCGCGUCCUAUCAGCUUGAUGGCGGGGUAACGGCCCACCAUGGCUUCGACGGGUAGCCGGCCUGAGAGGGCGACCGGCCACAUUGGGACUGAGAUACGGCCCAGACUCCUACGGGAGGCAGCAGUGGGGAAUAUUGCACAAUGGGCGCAAGCCUGAUGCAGCGACGCCGCGUGCGGGAUGACGGCCUUCGGGUUGUAAACCGCUUUUGACUGGGAGCAAGCCCUUCGGGGUGAGUGUACCUUUCGAAUAAGCACCGGCUAACUACGUGCCAGCAGCCGCGGUAAUACGUAGGGUGCAAGCGUUAUCCGGAAUUAUUGGGCGUAAAGGGCUCGUAGGCGGUUCGUCGCGUCCGGUGUGAAAGUCCAUCGCUUAACGGUGGAUCCGCGCCGGGUACGGGCGGGCUUGAGUGCGGUAGGGGAGACUGGAAUUCCCGGUGUAACGGUGGAAUGUGUAGAUAU